UACGUAGGUGGCAAGCGUUGUUCGGAAUUACUGGGCGUAAAGGGCGCGUAGGCGGCCCUCUAAGUCAGACGUGAAAUCCCACGGCUCAACCGUGGAACUGCGUCUGAUACUGGAGGGCUUGAAUCCGGGAGAGGGAUGUGGAAUUCCAGGUGUAGCGGUGAAAUGCGUAGAUAUCUGGAGGAACACCGGUGGCGAAGGCGGCAUCCUGGACCGGUAUUGACGCUGAGGCGCGAAAGCUAGGGGAGCAAACGGG
rnacentral:rRNA from 1 species